UUACGGUGGAUACCUAGGCAUCCAGAGAUGAGGAAGGGCAUAGUAAUUCGAUGAAAUACUUUGAGGAGUUGAAAAUAAGCAUAGAUAUGAGAUUCCCGAAUAGGGAAACCUUUCAAAUUGCGAUUGAAUAAAUGGAUAGGACAUAGACAACCUGGAGAGCUAAAACAUCUCAUUUGACUAAGGAAAAUAAAGCAAAAGAAAUUACUCAUAGUAGCGGCGAGCGAAAUGGGAGUAGCCUAAAUUGUGAAAAUGGGGUUAUGGGAGAGCAAUACCAGUAUCAUGCUGCUAGGUGAAGUAACCUGAAUGUUACACCCUAUAUGGAAAAAGACUAGUAGUAGAAAGCAUCUCUAGCUUACGUUGUGGCCUGAGUAGCAUGGGGCACGUGGAAUCCCAUAUGAAUCAACAAGGACAACCUUGCAAGUCUAAAUAAUCCUGGAUGACCGAUAGCAAAGUAGUACCAUGAGGGAAGGGUGAAAAAAACCCGAUCAAGGAGUUAAAUAGAACAUGAAACCAUAA
rnacentral:ncRNA from 1 species